rnacentral:rRNA from 1 species
CCUACGGGGGGCUGCAGUGGGGAAUAUUGGGCAAUGGGCGCAAGCCUGACCCAGCAACGCCGCGUGAAGGAAGAAGGCUUUCGGGUUGUAAACUUCUUUUGGCAGGGAAGAGGAGAAGACGGGACCUGACGAAUAAGCCACGGCUAACUACGUGCCAGCAGCCGCGGUAAUACGGAGGUGGCAAGCGUUGUCCGGAUUUACGGGGUGGAAAGGGCGUGUAGCCGGGUUGACAAGUCAGAUGUGAAAUCCUGCGGCUUAACCGCAGAACUGCAUUUGAAACUUUUGAUCUUGAGUACUGGAGAGGCCGCUGGCCUUCCUAGUGUAGCGGUGCAAUGCGUCGAUCUUAGGAG